AUUUGUUAAGAUGAAACACUGCAGAAGGGCCGUCUGAAAAAAGGGAGAAGGAAAAACAAUGUUGCAAACUCUGGAAAAAAAGUUGGGCCUUUAGUUGCUGUUCUGGAAAAUCUUUAGUAAUGGAUCAAAGGAAGAAUGAGAGUAUUGUCCCUAGUAUUACUCAAUUAGAAGAUUUUCUUACAGAACACAAUUCCAAUGUUGUUUGGCUCCUUGUUGCUACCAUUUUGUCCUGUGGAUGGAUUAUUUACCUCACGUAUUAUAAUUCCCGGAAUGUUGGUCUUAUUUUAACACUAGUUCUUAACAGAUUAUACAAGCAUGGCUAUAUCCAUAUUGGUUCCUUCUCUUUCUCUGUUCUUUCUGGAAAAGUCAUGGUUCGUGAAAUCUAUUACAUUACAGAAGACAUGUCUAUUAGAAUUCAAGAUGGAUUUAUCAUUUUUCGGUGGUGGAAAAUGUAUAACCCAAAACAGAAGCAACAUGAUCCGAAGGCAGAAACCAGGUUAUAUAUCACAGUCAAUGACUUUGAAUUUCAUGUCUAUAAUCGUUCGGAUCUUUAUGGACGCCUUCAAGAGCUGUUUGGUUUGGAGCCAACAAUAAUUCCACCCAAGAAAGAAGAUGAUAAAACACGGGAAAAUGGAAGAACAAGAACCCAAUCAAAAAUUGAAAGAGUUAAAGUAAAAACAGAAUCCCAAGAUCCCACAUCUUCAUGGAGAUCACUUAUUCCAGUCAUAAAGGUCAAUGUGAGCACAGGACGUUUGGCCUUUGGAAAUCAUUACCAACCACAAACUCUGUGCAUCAAUUUUGAUGAUGCUUUCUUAACUUAUACUACAAAACCACCUUCAAGUCAUCUUGACCAGUUCAUGCAUAUUGUGAAAGGAAAACUUGAAAAUGUUCGAGUCAUGCUUGUUCCUAGUCCAAGAUAUGUUGGUCUUCAAAAUGAUGAACCACCGAGAUUAAUGGGAGAAGGUUUUGUGGUGAUGCAGUCAAAUGAUGUUGACAUCUACUACUACAUGGAUGAGCCAGGACUUGUUCCGGAAGAAACAGAAGAAAAUAUUGAAGGAGAAAUGAGCAGUGAGGAUUGCAAAUUACAAGACUUGCCUCCAUGUUGGGGACUGGAUAUAGUUUGUGGUAAAGGAACAGAUUUUAAUUAUGGACCAUGGGCCGAUAGGCAGAGAGAUUGUUUAUGGAAGUUUUUCUUUCCACCUGAUUAUCAAGUUCUGAAAGUUUCUGAAAUUGCACAGCCUGGGAGACCAAGACAGAUCCUUGCUUUUGAAUUACGAAUGAAUAUUAUUGCAGAUGCUACAAUUGACUUGCUGUUUACCAAAAAUAGGGAAACAAAUGCUGUACAUGUAAAUGUAGGAGCUGGCUCAUACUUAGAAAUUAAUAUUCCAAUGACAGUUGAAGAAAAUGGUUAUACUCCUGCUAUUAAAGGACAACUCUUACAUGUGGAUGCCACUACCAGCAUGCAAUAUCGGACUCUUCUAGAAGCAGAAAUGUUAGCAUUCCACAUCAAUGCCAGUUACCCCCGAAUAUGGAACAUGCCACAGACAUGGCAGUGCGAAUUAGAGGUUUAUAAAGCCACCUACCACUUCAUUUUUGCACAGAAAAAUUUCUUUACAGAUUUAAUUCAAGACUGGUCUAGUGACAGUGCUCCAGACAUUUUUUCAUUUGUUCCAUAUACGUGGAAUUUUAAAAUCAUGUUUCAUCAAUUUGAAAUGAUUUGGGCUGCUAAUCAACACAAUUGGAUCGACUGCUCCACUAAACAACAGGAGAAUGUGUAUCUGGCAGCUUGUGGAGAAACACUAAACAUUGAUUUUUCUUUGCCUUUUACGGACUUUGUUCCAGCUACAUGUAAUACAAAGUUCUCUUUAAGAGGAGAAGAUGUUGAUCUUCAUUUGUUUCUACCAGAUUGCCACCCUAGUAAAUAUUCUUUAUUUAUGCUGGUUAAAAAUUGCCACCAAAAUAAGAUUAUUCAUGAUACUGGCAUUCCUGUUGAGUGUCAAAGUGGCCAGAAAACAGUUAAACCAAAAUGGCGCAACAUUACUCAGGAAAAGUCUGGUUGGGUUGAAUGCUGGACUGUCCCAAGUGUCGUGCUUACAAUUGAUUAUACAUGGCAUCCGAUUUAUCCACAAAAAGCAGACGAACAACUAAAACAGUCAUUGUCAGAAAUGGAAGAGACAAUGCUAUCUGUAUUAAGGCCAUCUCAGAAGGGAUCAGACAGAGUUUCUUCUCCCUCUACUUCUUCACGCCCACCUAUUGAUCCCUCAGAACUUCCACCUGAUAAACUUCAUGUAGAAAUGGAACUUUCUCCAGAUUCUCAGAUAACUCUCUAUGGACCUCUACUAAAUGCCUUUUUGUGUAUAAAGGUAUGAUUCUUAAAAACAACUUACAUAUUUUUAAAUAUAGACAAAGCAGUUAAAAUUUAAUUGAAAAUUGAGACCAUUUGAAAUAGCCAAUUAGAUUAUUUAAAGUGUUGAGGAUAUACCAUAUAUGUUGACUGGAUGUGGGGUACUAGACUCAAUUACAAAAUUAUUUAUUAAAAAUAGUACUCCUCAGUUCAGCAUUCUUUAGUGCAUUUAGUAUGUUCUAGGAAUGGUGCUAGUUGCUAUAGAUAAAGAUGAUGUAGCAUCUGUUCUCAGGGAGGUAACCUGGAGGGAUAGCUAGGAUAGAUAGAUACAUGGACAAAUUUUAACACAUUAUAAGUAAUAUAGUAAUAGAAGUACUGCAUAUAUCUGAGAAUAAUUGGUAAUGGAAAAGACUACUUCAAUGAAUACAUUAAAAAUAAGUGAUAACGUUUUAUAAGUAAUGAGCAAAUAUUUGUUUGGUGCUUUAUGUGAAAAACUGUAGCAAAUAUAUGAAAAUAAGUUUAUUUCAGAAUGUAUCAAACUUAGGUUCUGAAGAAAUAUGUACUAAUUCUUAGAACAAAGAACCAAUCAAGUGUUUACUCAUUUUGGUAUAGUUUUUUCCACUGUAAUUGUGUGAUUGCAUGGUAUGACAGCACUUUAAAGUUGAUCUCUGUAGAAUGAUUACGAAGAGAGGCUAUUUUUGGAUAAAUAUUUGAGGAGUUCAUCAGUUUUCUGGAGAGCACUGUUAUUCUUUUGAUAUUCAACUCGUAUGUUUUAAACGCCCCCAACAAAUUAUCAACAAUUCUUGUUGAUUUAAUCUUUUUUAUGGUAACUCCUAUAAUGGUUCUUGAUCCUCACUUAUCACCUUUGCCUGUGAUUAGAGGAGUUCUCCAACAUCACUUUCAACAACUUCAAGAAAUUUUGCAUUUCUACAGGAUCUGGCAGAUUCACUUUGGGUAUUGAAUACCUAGGUGACAAGAGAUCCUAUAAUGUACAGUGAUAAAAGUAAUUAAUUCUGGAGAGGGACCAGGAUGUUCAGAGUUGAUCAGGGUAGCACAAUCAAGGUUUGUUAGUAAAGGCUCUCUGGAGGAAGUGCUGGCUGAACUGGAUUUGGAAGGUAUAUAGCAUCUCAAUAUUUGAGUUAUUAUAUUGUAUUUACUAAAAACCACCAUAAAGCAUUAGAUGUUGUAACUUAAUAUAAAAGAUGCAAGGGAAAAUGUGGUUAAUAUUUGUAGAUGCCUAGAGUUUCUGUUGGUAACAGACACACUUUUCUUCCUUCUUGUGACCAUCGUUUGACCUAAAACGUAUGUCAAAUAUUUCUCCCAUUAUCUUACUUUCUUGGGAUUGCAUGUGAAUAACUAUAAAGGAUUUAAAAGGCAAUUUUCAAGCUAUAGUAUUCCUGAAGACGCUGCAUUAUGUUUUACUUAAAUACAAGUAAUGAUUUAAUUAGUAGGUGAGGGUAGUAAUAGUGAUACAGUAUCAGUUUUCAAAUACUAUUAGAGUGGUAAAGUUACAUUUUUGCAUUACUGUGUACACAUGGAGCCUCAGUUUUAUUUUUUAAAAACUGAUAGGAACACAUAUUCACCAAAAAUAAGGGGACGCUAACAAACAGAAUACAUUGAAAGAAAUAUAUGCCUUCAUUUUAGACUUCCUUCUAAGUUCUACUCCACAGAUGUAGCCAUUGCUGAUAGAUUAUUGUUUUCAUACAGACUUUUGUGCAUUAAAGGCUUUAUAACAACUUUUUAAUGGUUUCAAGAGUGUGACUGGCCCUAAAUAUUGUAUUAGUAUUUACAUUCAUCUAAUUAGCUUAGAACUUAUAUAAAAUAUCUAUUAAAGCAAAUUAUAAAAUUUUAAAUUUUGACGUUUACUACGUAUAUAUGCAAAUUGUAAAAUUUUAAAUUUUGACAUGUUUACUAAAUAUAUAUAUCAAAGACAUGACAGACAAAAAAUGUGUCUAGCCCAGUGAAUUCUAUGCUUCCUUUUAUAAAAAAUUUAUGCAAUUCUUUAAGUUUCUGGUUUUGGUUUUGUUUUGUUUUUUAAGAGACAGGGUCUUCCCUUGUCGUUCAGGCUGGAGUGCAGUGGCACAAUCAUAGCUCUUUGCAAUCUGGAAAUCCAGGGCUCAAGCGAUCCUCUACUUUUAAGGAAUAGUACUGAAAAU
ensembl:lincRNA